rnacentral:rRNA from 1 species
UUGAGCGGAGAUAUAUGGAGCUUGCUUUAUAUAACUUAGCAGCGAACGGGUGAGUAACACGUAGAUAAUCUAUCCUAUACUGGGGGAUAGCCCGAUGAAAGUUGGAUUAAUACCGCAUAUAGCUAUAUAGUUGCAUGAUUAUGUAGUGAAAGAUUUAUUGGUAUAGGAGGAGUCUGCGGCACAUUAGCUAGUAGGUGAGGUAAAGGCUUACCUAGGCGACGAUGUGUAGCCGGUCUGAGAGGAUGAACGGCCACAAUGGAACUGAGACACGGUCCAUACUCCUACGGGAGGCAGCAGUGGGGAAUAUUGCACAAUGGGGGAAACCCUGAUGCAGCAACGCCGCGUGAGUGAAGAAGGUUUUCGGAUUGUAAAGCUCUGUUAGCAGGGAAGAGGAAGGACGGUACCUGCAGAGGAAGCCACGGCUAACUACGUGCCAGCAGCCGCGGUAAUACGUAGGUGGCAAGCGUUGUUCGGAAUAACUGGGCGUAAAGGAUGCGUAGGCGGUUAAACAAGUUAUAUGUUAAAUAUAUAGGCUUAACCUGUAGAAAGCAUAUAAAACUGUUUAACUAGAGUGCAGGAGAGGUAAGUGGAAUUCCUAGUGUAGCGGUGAAAUGCGUAGAGAUUAGGAAGAACACCAGUGGCGAAGGCGACUUACUGGACUGUAACUGACGCUGAGGCAUGAGAGCAUGGGGAGCAAACAGGAUUAGAUACCCUGGUAGUCCAUGCUGUAAACGAUGGGUACUAGGUGUGGGUUGUGAAUACAAUUCGUGCCGUCGCAAACGCAAUAAGUACCCCGCCUGAGGAGUACGAUCGCA